rnacentral:rRNA from 1 species
UACGUAGGUGGCAAGCGUUGUUCGGAAUUAUUGGGCGUAAAGGGCGCGUAGGCGGUCUUGUAAGUCAGCUGUGAAAGCCCCGGGGGCUCAACCCCCGGAGGGUCGGCUGAUACUGCAGGACUGGAGUACGGAAGAGGCGAGUGGAAUUCCUGGUGUAGCGGUGAAAUGCGCAGAUAUCAGGAGGAACACCGAUGGCGAAGGCAGCUCGCUGGGGACGGUACUGACGCUGAGGCGCGAAAAGCGUGGGGGGAGCAAAACAGG